rnacentral:tRNA from 1 species
GCCUGAGUGGCCCAGCGGUUAGGCGUCUGCCUUCGGCUCAGGGCGUGAUCCCGGCGUUAUGGGAUCGAGCCCCAUGUCAGGCU